UGACAGUGAUAUUUUUUUCUUUUUUUUUGACAUUGACAGCUGACAAUGACAUUUUCUUCUUUUUUUGUUGACAUUGGUAGCUGGCGAAUGGUAAUGGCAGUUUACAUAAUAAAUGGCAGUUUACAAUUAAUAAACGGGCAGACUGCAAUUGCGCGCAGCGGUCAGAAAGGAGGAAGACCUAACCCUUCGGUCCAAACCUAACUUACGGGUAAUAGAGUGAGAGAACCGCAGGAGGUAUUUGACCGCUGCGCGCAAUCACAACCCACCCUAAUAAACAUAGUUUAAUUUGUAUCUCUCCAUUGACCUCACCGUACAUAAACGGCGACACUGUCUUUCUUUGCACUUAAACUGUUUUUUAAUUAAUCAAACACUUUGCAAACGUUGGAUUAAUUCUAAAUCGCUUUUUUGUGUGAUAUUAUUAAUAUCAAAAUAAGAAGUUACAUCCAUUUUUCGAUACUAAACGUGAAUGACAACUAAUCUUGUUUUGACAAAUUUUCAAAUUCCAAAGAUAUUUUGAUUUACAUCAAUAUUUGAAACAGAAAACCUUACGAUAAAAAUUGGCAACCUAGCACAGUCGUUGUCGAAUGUCGAUCUAAAUGUCAUAAACAUUUUGUGAUUUUGUGUUGUGAAUUUGAUUACUUGAUUGCAAAAAUGUUGACAGAGAGAAUUUAAAAUUUUGUUGGAUUAUAAUAUUUUCAAUAUAAUCCAGUAUUCUAAUAAAAAUAAUGGACGUAUACCGCACUAAUAUGGAUUAAUAAGAUAUAAAUAAAAGGAACAACCACCAGAUAUUUAAAAGGUAUAAAAAGAAGAACCUGCUGGAAUUUCAAAACAAAUGUGUUUGACUAGUAAAGAUUUGGAUAAAUAACAGGAGUUACUUUGGGCUAUAGCUACGUGCAGAUUUAUUUCCUUGUGGCUUCCUAUGUUAAUUCUUAUUAAUUAUACACUUAAAUAUGUUUUUAGUCUCAGGAAGAUUUUAUAUUUGAUUAUUUUUGAAUAAACAUUAUUAUUAUUAUUACCUUAAUUUCCAUUAAAUAAAUUAACUGUAAUCAAUAAAGUAAUCGUUUAAUUGUUAAUAAAUUAUCAAGUAUGA